UACAGAGGUCUCAAGCGUUGUUCGGAUUCAUUGGGCGUAAAGGGUGCGCAGGCGGCCGGGUGUGUGAGGCGUGAAAGCCCGAUGCUUAACAUCGGAAUUGCACCUCAAACUACACGGCUAGAGCAUUGGAGAGGGUAGCGGAAUUCACGGUGUAGCAGUGAAAUGCGUAGAUAUCGAUGAGGAACACCAGAGGCGAAGGCGGCUACCUGGACAAUUGCUGACGCUCAGGCACGAAAGCGGUGGGAGCAAAAGGG
rnacentral:rRNA from 1 species